GGCAGUGGUACCUCAACGGUUAAGGAUCUGAUCAGUGAUCGGUGAUCAGGAGGUCGGGGUUCGAGCACCAGCACUGCCA